AGUGAACGCUGGCGGUAGGCCUAACACAUGCAAGUCGAACGGCAGCACAGUAAGAGCUUGCUCUUACGGGUGGCGAGUGGCGGACGGGUGAGGAAUACAUCGGAAUCUACUUUUUCGUGGGGGAUAACGUAGGGAAACUUACGCUAAUACCGCAUACGACCUACGGGUGAAAGCAGUGGAUCUUCGGACCUUGCGCGAUUGAAUUAGCCGAUGUCGGAUUAGCUAGUUGGCGGGGUAAAGGCCCACCAAGGCGACGAUCCGUAGCUGGUCUGAGAGGAUGAUCAGCCACACUGGAACUGAGACACGGUCCAGACUCCUACGGGAGGCAGCAGUGGGGAAUAUUGGACAAUGGGCGCAAGCCUGAUCCAGCCAUACCGCGUGAGUGAAGAAGGCCUUCGGGUUGUAAAGCCCUUUUGUUGGGAAAGAAAAGCAGUAGGUUAAUACCUCGCUGUUCUGACGGUACCCAAAGAAUAAGCCCCGGCUAACUUCGUG
rnacentral:rRNA from 1 species